rnacentral:rRNA from 1 species
UUAAGUGUGUAAGAGCACACGGUGGAUGCCUUGGCAUCAAGAGCCGAUGAAGGACGUGGGAGACUGCGUUAAGCCUAGGGGAGUUGUCAACCGAGCGGUGAUCCUAGGAUGUCCGAAUGGGGAAACCUAGCCGCAGUGAUGUGUGGUUACCUGCGCCUGAAUAUAUAGGGCGUGUGGAGGGAACGCGGGGAAGUGAAACAUCUCAGUACCCGUAGGAAGAGAAAACAACCGUGAUUCCGUGAGUAGUGGCGAGCGAAAGCGGAUGAGGCUAAACCAUAUGCGUGUCAAGCCGGCAGGCGUUGCGUGUGUGGUGUUGUGGGAGCGAGUGUGUGUGGCUGCCGUCGCACGCUGUUGAUGUUGUCGCUAGCGGAAGUCGUUUGGAACGGCGCACCGUAGUGGGUGAGAGUCCCGUACGUGAAAGUGGCAAUUGUUGAUGGUUCUUGUUUCCCGAGUAGCACCGGGCCCGUGAAAUCUGGUGUGAAUCUGUCGGGACCACCCGAUAAGCCUAAAUACUUCUUGAUGACCGAUAGCGGACCAGUACCGUGAGGGAAAGGUGAAAAGUACCCCGGGAGGGGAGUGAAAUAGUACCUGAAACCGUGUGCUUACAAUCCGUCAGAGGCUUUCGGGCUGAUGGCGUGCCUUUUGAAGAAUGAGCCUGCGAGUUAGUGGUAUGUCGCGAUUAGGUUGAAAACUGAGGGGAUGAGCUGUGGGUAGGGGUGAAAGGCCAAUCAAACUCCGUGAUAGCUGGUUCUCCCCGAAAUGCAUUUAGGUGCAGCGUCGUGUGUUUCAUCUUGGAGGUAGAGCUACUGGAUGGUCGAGGGGGCUUAUCCGCUUACCGACACCAGCCAAACUCCGAAUGCCAGGAUGUGAGAGCACGGCAGUGAGACUGUGGGGGAUAAGCUUCAUAGUCGAGAGGGAAACAGCCCAGAUCGCCGGCUAAGGCCCCUAAGCGUGUACUAAGUGGAAAAGGAUGUGGGAUCGCUUAGACAACCAGGAGGUUGGCUCAGAAGCAGCCACCCUUGAAAGAGUGCGUAAUAGCUCACUGGUCAAGUGGUCCUGCGCCGACAAUGUAGUGGGGCUCAAGUACACCGCCGAAGCCGCGGCAUUCCAGUUUUUUGGGAUGGGUAGGGGAGCGUCGUGUGUCCGUUGAAGCUGCAGAGUGAUCUAGUGGUGGAGGGUAUGCGAGUGAGAAUGCAGGCAUGAGUAGCGAAUGACAUGUGGGAAACAUGUCCUCCGGAUGACCAAGGGUUCCUGGGCUAGGCUAAUCCUCCCAGGGUGAGUCGGGUCCUAAGGCGAGGCCGACAGGCGUAGUCGAUGGAUAACGGGUUGAUAUUCCCGUACCCGUAUAAGCGCGCCCAUGGUGAAUCAGUGAUACUAACUGUCCAGAAGCUGCUGCUGCCUUUUUUUGAGGUGGUGGUUGUGGAUGCACGGGACCUGAUCUGGUAGUAGCCAAGCGAUGGGGUGACGCAGGAAGGUAGCUGUGCCAGGUAGUGGAUUGCCUGGUGUAAGCGUGUAGGGUGACAGGUUGGUAAAUCCGCUUGUUGUGUACCUGAGACGUGAUGCGUAGCCAUUGUGGUGAAGUCAGUGAUCCUAUGCUGCCGAGAAAAGCCUCUAGUGAGUUCUUAUACGGCCCGUACCCCAAACCGACACAGGUGGUCAGGUAGAGAAUACUAAGGAGUUCGAGAGAACUGUGGUUAAGGAAUUCGGCAAAAUGCCCCCGUAACUUUGGAAGAAGGGGGACCGGUGUUGGUGAUCACCUUUUCGGUGUGAGCUGAUGUCGGUCGCAGAGACCAGAGAGAAGCGACUGUUUACCAAAAACACAGGUCCGUGCGAAGACGUAAGUCGAUGUAUACGGACUGACGCCUGCCCGGUGCUGGAAGGUUAAGAGGACUGGUUAGUGGCCCUUGUGGCUGCGAAGCUGAGAAUUUAAGCCCCAGUAAACGGCGGUGGUAACUAUAACCAUCCUAAGGUAGCGAAAUUCCUUGUCGGGUAAGUUCCGACCUGCA